rnacentral:lncRNA from 1 species
AACUAUUGGACAAAUAUGAACACAUAUCUCAUGUGGUGAUAUGUCAGGUUUACUUAUGGUUCUAAUUCCGUGGUUUGGCCAAAUGCAGCAUUUGUUUAUACCUGUUACCCUUUGUGUGCAUUUUUUCCCUCGUUUGAGUUUAAAUAAAGUCCUACUCCAAUCAUCUUUUUGAUCUAUUGUAAAGGUGCUCCAAGUGGUCUUUUAAUCCUGAAGUUUUCUGUUACAAUUUUGUAUAUUUAACUUUUUAAACACAUUUUAUUCCAUGUUUUAUCAAGUUUUAUGUAAUAUUAACAUAUAUUGCUAAACACUUUUUUUCUCAAGAAAAGUGCAAUAUAAAUAAAUUUGUUUUUUCUGUUUGCUUUAUGUUUCACAAACCCCUGUAAAUUGAGAAAGCAUUGUGCGAAAUUUUAAUUAAUUUUUUUAUUGCAUUCAGUUAUCUGCGGUGAUGUUGCAUACAUUUUAUGCAGACUUUUGCUUAUUCCUGCAGAAGCCCAUGUGCAUUCAGUUGAGCCCUACACCAGGCAGGAGCUUUCACUCUUGUCUCUGCCUCAUGUCAUUACCCGUUACAGUCUGACAGCACGGGGAAAGACAAGUAACCCUCUAACCUAUCUUUACCACGACAUCCCCAAAGACCAGGUGUUUGGAAAAUACUCCAAGGAAUCCGAACCAGGGGCUCCUAAGAUAAAUAUGAAACACUACAUCAAGAGAAUACUCACCGUUACUUCAGAGUAAGUCGUUUAGAUGUCACCGUUCUUUCAGUCAGCAAACUGUAAAAAACAAAAUUUUAAUGUUUAGUUUUUUUUAUAGUGAUCCAACACCCCCUCCUUCUCCACCAAAUGGGAUGUCCGACAUGGAUUUUGACAUUCCCAAUCUUGAUGCUGGUCAGGAGGAAAUCUUGAAUGAUUUACUCGGCAUUCCUGAAUCUGACUCCGUCUUCUUUCCGUAUGGAGGAACUCCCUACAUGGAUAUGUUCAUGUCUUAAAAUAUUACAGCUGAUAUAAACAUGCCAUAAUCUUCCUUUUACCACCUUGUGUGCUAUAAUUGGCCAUAGAAUCAAAAACAGAUUACGGUACACUAAGAAUCCUUAUCUGUUAAGCACAAAUCUCUGCGUAAUUUGUGAAUACCAUUGCUUUAUUACAGUUUUUAAGGAGACAAAUAUUACAAAAUCUUCUUAAUAUUUAGAAAUGUUAUUUGUAUUUUUAUGUUAUUCAAUGGUUUAAAAUGUCGUGAAAAUUUUGUGUUGGUUUUAAACUUUUCUAACAAUCUUACAAUAAACAAUAAUAAUCUAACAAUAAUAAAAACAGAAUAGUAGAAACAGCCUCUAUUAGCAAUUUUGAGCCUCUAUUAGCAUUAGCAAAACAGCCAUAUAAUAUUGCAACAACAAAAAAACUUCAAAAGUAAAACUACAUUAAGAUUAAUGUUGAACACGGCUGUGUUUAAAAGCCAGGGAUGAGAAGUGGAUUUUAAGUGAAGGAUCAAAGCAAGAAAAUGUUACAGCAGCUCUGAUGUGAAGAAGGAAACCACUAAAUCAUUUAGGAGCAAAAGUCUGGCACAAAGUCUGGAGUUAGAAACUUUUAGAGGAAGCUGGGUAGAAGAUGUUAAAUUUAUUUCUGGAGCUGAUAAUUGUGAUGGAGCCAAACUACUAAAAGCUUUGAAAACAAUUACAAAAACCUUAAGAUGGAUCCCAAAAUUAAAACUACGUGAGUAGAGGGCAGCAGGCAAAGGAGGGAUGGGAUCAUUCAAAACUAAAUUCUCCACAAACUAGUGCAAUAAAUAUUUAAGUCUAGAAAAAUAAUGUAAAUUUAUUUUCAUUUUUUUGUGAGAACCAUUACAAAACUGAUCAUAAGAAAAUGGUUAUUGUCACUUGUCUUGGCUACCAGAACAUUUUAGACUUUAUUGAGAUUUUGUUUACCGUGUGGUAUGUUUAAAUUAUCCACAUAUUUUAGAUUACGGUACAAAAACAGACUAAAAUAUAUGAUGUAUGUAUAUGUAUACAUUAAAAUAAGUGUGCCGCAGUGUUAACACCUCCAGGUGGGUAAAUAUUCUGUAUGCUGUUCAAAGCAAUUUAUAGCAGAACAUGAUUCUGUUUCAUCUUUUGUGGGUAAGACCUGAGCUACUUUGAAGAACAUCCAACAAUUCUUUUAUAAGAUUGAUUAAACAGC